rnacentral:rRNA from 1 species
AGCGAACGCUGGCGGCAGGCUUAACACAUGCAAGUCGAACGCUCGUAGCAAUACGGGAGUGGCAGACGGGUGAGUAACGCGUGGGAACGUACCCUUCGGUUCGGAAUAACUCAGGGAAACUUGAGCUAAUACCGGAUACGUCCGAGAGGAGAAAGAUUUAUCGCCGAAGGAUCGGCCCGCGUCUGAUUAGCUUGUUGGUGAGGUAACGGCUCACCAAGGCGACGAUCAGUAGCUGGUCUGAGAGGAUGAUCAGCCACAUUGGGACUGAGACACGGCCCAAACUCCUACGGGAGGCAGCAGUGGGGAAUAUUGGACAAUGGGGGCAACCCUGAUCCAGCCAUGCCGCGUGAGUGAUGAAGGCCUUAGGGUUGUAAAGCUCUUUUACCUGGGAAGAUAAUGACGGUACCAGGAGAAUAAGCCCCGGCUAACUUCGUGCCAGCAGCCGCGGUAA